UAUCUUUCAUCUUCAUUAUUGUCCAUUCUCAGAGAAAAAAGAAGCAGUAGAAAAUUGUUCUUUUGUGCUCCUCAUUCGUCGAUAUAUCGGCAGAUUAACGUAAUAUUAACGGUAAAUUUGUUCGCGUUUUUGUUUAAUUUUCAUAUUUCGUUUCAUUUUUUUGCAUUUUCGUUUUUUUCAAGAAACUUAUUUUUUCGAUUUUUUCUUUUCCUUUUCUUACUCUGUCUUUGGUCGG
rnacentral:lncRNA from 1 species